rnacentral:sRNA from 1 species
AAAAAAACAGAAAAAAGAAAC